CCUUACGGGGUGCAGCAGUGGGGAAUAUUGCACAAUGGGGGAAACCCUGAUGCAGCGACGCCGCGUGAGCGAUGAAGUAUUUCGGUAUGUAAAGCUCUAUCAGCAGGGAAGAAAAUAACGGUACCUGACUAAGAAGCCCCGGCUAACUACGUGCCAGCAGCCGCGGUAAUACGUAGGGGGCAAGCGUUAUCCGGAUUUACUGGGUGUAAAGGGAGCGUAGACGGGGGUGCAAGCCAGAUGUGAAAGCCUGGGGCUCAACCCCGGGACUGCAUUUGGAACUGUGAUGCUUGAGUGUCGGAGAGGCAGGCGGAAUUCCUAGGGUAGCGGUGAAAUGCGUAGAUAUUAGGAGGAACACCAGUGGCGAAGGCGGCCUGCUGGACGGUGUACUGACGCUGAGGCUCGAAAGCGUGGGGAGCAAACAGGAUUAGAUACCCCUGUAGUC
rnacentral:rRNA from 1 species